AGCACCUGAGCAGGAGAGACGCGUGAGCAGCCCGCGGACCCCAACUGCCAGCACCGUUUACUGUCUUUUCCAGUGUAGAAGACACUAAGACAAGCCAAGGCCAUCCUGAUUUUCCGGGGAACCACUUUCUCAUACUUUAGUUUUAACAUUCCUGUGGCCAACCUGGAAGCUCUGCUGAAACCUGUUCUGCAUCACAGCAACACACAAGCCUCUACUGACAGGUGAUGGCUGCACAUGAGGUGCGCUGGCCAGGAAUCCAACCAGGUCUCCCACGUAGAAGGAUGCAUAGUCAAUCUCUCGGCUGAUCCCAUCCCCAGACCGGUCGCUCAGGGGCGGGGCAAAGGACAACUCCUUCACUCCCAGGAAGGACUUGAAUUGGGCAAAGAGUUCUGGAAACUUCCUUCAAAGACAAUGAUCAGCAGUAAGUCAGCACCUCAGGGCCUCCAAGACCGAGACUUCAGAAUGGCUUCUGGGUCACUAGUGGUCAGAAUUCAGUGUCAGGGAGCAAGGCAGGUGAGCUGCCCCACCUCCAUGUACCCAGUCAGACCCCUUUCUGUGCGCCCAUGCUUGUUACUCAUGCUCGUUACUUGAAGGGAGGCCUUGAAAUGUGCCACAAGGGUGAGCUAACCCAGCAGAAACCAGGGGCCUGGGGUCAGCCAGUGACCAUCCUAAACUGGAAGGGGCCAGGUGUGAGGCCAGGGAUUUGCAAACUGUGGCCCAGGGGCCAAAUCUAGCCUUUCUGUAAAUAAAGUUUUAUCGACACAAAGCCACACCCAUCUAUGUACAUAUCACCUACACUGCACAUGACGGGGCAGAGUUGAGUGGCUGCAACAGAGACCAUGUGGCCCCCCAAACUUAGUGUACUUACUAUCUGGCCCCUUGCCGACCCCUGCUCUAGAGUCUCCCUGGCCUUAUGAAGGAGCCUCCAUCCUGGAAACCCCCUGCAGACAAGCUCUCAUGAAUCAAAAGCCUAACUACCAUGAAUGCCCACAAGGAAACCUUAAUGCAUUUGACCCCAGGACAACCUGGAUUUACAGUUAAAUAACACCAAGCCCUUCGGAAGAGGCUGCAGUGCCUCUGACAGUCACGCAGUUGUCCUGCUGCGACCCAGCAAGGUGCCUCCCUCAACCACUCCAUCCCUCUGUGAUACGGCCACCCUGUGCCCCACCUUGGAGGACCCUGCACUCACUCUGUACACAAAAGGGACGAAAGCCACAACAACUUGAGUAGAGGACGUCUGCGAGGCACUUGAGCCAACGUGCCCUGUUCCAGCACGAUGUCAGCUGGUGGCAGUCCUCUGGCCACCACACUCAGCUGCCCAUGGGGUGAGCACACCAGGCCAAAGCUUGCAAAUGCAGGAGAGGCCCAUGGAGGUGACCACUGCUAAACCAUCAUCUCAGAAGAGCCUGAAGGGGCCCCUCAUGACUGGACCCUGUCCCAACCCCUUCCCUCAAUCCUCUCACUUUCCAUCUGCUCAGUGCCUCCCAGGGAAUGUUCCUUCCCUCUUCUUUAGGUGUCCCUGGGUGCUACAAACGGUUUAGUGCCUGGCUGUUAACUGAAGUUGGAGGCUUGAGUUCACCCAGAGGUGCCUCGGAAGACAAGCCUGGCUAUUCUGCUUCCGAAAGGUCAGUCCUGAAAACCCUAUGGAGUGCAGUUCUACUCUUUGUCUGCUAUGGGGAAAAUUCUCGUGGCGUCUCUCUCCCCCGUUUGCUAGCUUGUCUGUGUCUAUGCUGCUCCUUCUAACCUCAGAACUGAGUGGGUUUAGGACACACCACCCCACCUUGCUAUGACCUCGCUAACGUUAACGAAAACUUUCUAUCCCCGAAUAUGGUCACACCCUCAGAUACAGACGUUAGGAUUCCAAUAUAUAUUUUGUGGGACACAAUUUCAUCUGUAACACUAUCAUAUCAUUUCUUACAACUGACUGCGUGUGAAUCUACAAAGAUCUUGAUACUAACUUCGACUAAAAAGCAAAGCCAACAACAGCCAACCUCCUCAAAAACAGAUCUCCAACCCCAAGAGCAAGGGGGUGGGCUCACGAUGGUGGGCUGCAUGGGCUCAGAGGGUCGCUCACCCCAGGAACGGGCUGACCAGCUGCAGGAGCUCAGAGCCAGACACAAGCUCCUGGUUGAAGAGCGCGAUGCAGCGGAGGAAGUUCUCAUAGACCUCCUGGCUCUUCAGCACCCGGCGCACCUGCGGGGAGAGCGCAUCAGGGGGUCCUGCUCUGCCUGGCCCCCACGUGACUCAACUGUCACUUGGCAUGCGUGGCCCCACCACCCAUCUGCUAUCAGAGGGUCCUGCCCUGCCCAGCCUCCAUGAGGUUCAGAUGUCACCUAGCUUAAGGGUCCCACCACCCGCCCACCAUCAGAAGGUCUUGCCCUGCCCAGCCUCAAUGCAGAUCAGCUGUCACCCUGUGCGUGUGUCCCACUGCCAGCCCACUUGCCAUCAGAGGGUACUGUUCUGCCUGGCCCCCACAUGACUUGGACAUCACCCAGGGUCCCCACCACCCACCCAUCGUCAAUGUGACCAGCCAUAACCUGCAGGCUAAUGCUGUGUGUGGGGUGGUCUGUAAGGUGUGCACACCAGCCAUCUCCCUGCCUCUGCACAGCUUGGGUGUCAUCCAGUGUGCACAUCCCUACCAGCUGCCUGAGCUCUAUGUGACUAGCUGUGGUCUGUGGGCAACUACCGCGUGUCGUCUGUCCUGCCCACUCACCCUGGGCACCAUGCCCACUUAAGAAGGGGGCAACGUUGAAGCUUUGCAUGCUGCAAGGGCAGAUGUGUUCCCAACCCUGCCCCAGUUCAUGCUGCCCUUCCCACCUGCUCUGCUGUCUCUCUGUCCACCACGCACCCCACUCUCCCUAGCCUCCCCCCAGAGCUCCCACCCUUGCGCUGCACGUGUACCUCCCGUAGGGCUGUGUGGCCAGUCUGAGCUGGGCCUUCGUGGGCGCAGCCCCAGGGAGCAAGAGCUCAGCGGGCCAAUCAAACCACCCCCAAGACGAGUGCAAGGGCAGCGCCCCUCACCUUGUCAAAGAAGGAGAACUCCUGUAGGGUCCCGUACUUGCCCACGGCGGCGAUGGACAGGUCCUUGGUCCCGCGGAGCUUCAUCUUCUUCUGCAGAGAGAAUCUAGAUGUUAAUCUCUCCUUCCCUGGGUGCCCUCCAUCCACUUCUGGUCCAGUAACAAGGACAGCAAGCUGGGCUCUCCUGGCAGAAUGAGGACCAGGGCCCUCCCCACCAUGAAGGUUGGGACUCCCCACGAUGGUGCAGUGGCCCCUCACUGUGAAGGAUGGGACUCUCCCCACACAUACUGCACAGCAAUCCUCACUUGGAAGACUGGGACCCCCACGACUGUGCAGUACCACCCACUGUGAAGUCAGGGCCCCCCACAACCACACAGUGCCCUCCCUGCCCACAGCCCCCAAGAAGGUCUGUCAGGUGCCCACAUGGUACUCACCCACCCCCUCUCACAUUCUCUACCCUGCAUAGAAGAGGGAACAGGGGUGGGGGAGAGGCUGGUGCUACCCCUACAUGCAGGCACCCCAUGGCCAGCCACAGCCCAGGGCCAGGCACUCAGCCACCUGUAGCUCGGCUGGUGUCCUCUGGUCCCUACAACCUGUGCCCCCUGGUUAACAGAUAAAUCGCCUCAAUUUUCUGUGGGUACCUUUGGGCACCAGGGUUAGCCGGGUGUGGCUGGAGCUGGGGACCCUGUGCAGUGAUUGACCAGGACAACUGUACUCUGUGGCUGUGCCAGAAUCCCAGGGCAAACCAGGUGGUACAUCUGGCUCCUCUAGCCCCUCCUCUCUGAAGCCAAUCUCAUGAGAGAGGGGUAGCGAGCGACCACCAUGAGACACUGACUUCCCAAGGUCAUUCAGCUGGAAAAUUGUGGGCCAGACCAAACCAGACUCCAGCCACACCCUGGGCUUGAGGCUCCAGGUGGGACCUUUGCACACCCAUGCCACAAGGGUCGCUGGGCUAGUGACCACAGGCUGGGCAGUGGGGUCUGUAGCAGGGAGCCAUCUGCACAUGGCUGACACCUACCUUGGCC